CUUGGUUGAUCCUGCUAGUAGUCAUAUGCUUGUAUCAAAGAUUAAGCCAUGCAUGUAUAAGUAUGAACUAAUUCAAACUGUGAAAUUGUGGAUGGCUCAUUAAAUAAAUUGUAGUUUCUUUGAUGGUACCCUAUUACUCAAAUAACCAUAUUAAUUCUAGAGCUAAUAGGUGCACCAAGUCCCAACUCUUUGGAAGGGGUGCAUUUAUUAGAUAAAAUUUCAGCGUUAGCUCAUCUGCUUCUUCAGUGAAUCAUGAUAACCCGAUGGAUCGCACAAGCCUUGUGUUGGCGAUGCUUCAUUCAAAUUUAUUCCCUAUCAAAUUUCAAUGGUAGGAUAGAGGUCUACCAUGGUGGUGAUAGGUGACGAAGAAUUAGGGUUCGAUUCCAAAGAGGGAGCCUGAGAAACGACUACCACAUCCAAGGAAGGAAAUAGGUGCACAAAUUACCCAAUCCUGACAUGGGGAGGUAGUGAAAAUAAAUAACAAUAUUGGGAUCAUCAAGUUUGGUAAUUGGAAUGAGUAUAAUCUAAAUCCCUUAACGAGGAUCCAUUGGAGGCAAAUUUUGGUGCCACCAUUCAUGGUAAUUCCAACUCCAAUAGAAUAUAUUUAGGUUGUUACAGUUAAAAAUAUCGUAGUUGGAUCUUGGGUCGUAAAGGUUGGUCCACCUACUUGGUGUGCACCUUCCCUUCCGUUCCUUUUUCUAGUGGUGUGCUCCUAGCCUUAAGUGGCUGGGUUGUGGUUGUGGUAUUGUUACAUUGAAAAAAAUGGAUUUCUCAAAGAAAGCUUAUGAUUUGAAUACAUUAACAUGGAAUAACACUAUAGGAGUCUGGUCCUAUUGUGUUGGCCUUCCGGAUCGGAGUAACGAUUAAUAUGGAUUGUCAGGGGCAUUCUUAUUUCAUUGUCAGAGGUGAAAUUCUUGGAUUUAUGAAAGAAGAACCAUUAUGAAAUCAUUUUCCAAGGAUGUUUUUAUUAAUCAAGAAUGAAAUUUGGGGGCUCGAAGACAAUCAAAUACCGUCCUAGUCUCAACCAUAAACGAUGUCGAUCAGGGAUCGAUGGAUGUUUAUUUAAGGAAUCUUCCAUCAACUUCUAAGAAAGAAGAGUGUUUGAGGUUAGGGUGGUUGUAUUCCAUUGUGUACAGGCCAAGGGGAGGUUAGGAAUGAGCCCAACCAAAAAAACUACCUUAAAAUGCAGAACAUUUUUGUUUUUUCACAAAAAUGAGGGUAUACAUAGUUUGUACACUAGAAAAUAGCAUAUGUACGUAUUUUACACAAGGGUAAAUAACAUAUGUACGUGGUUUUCACAUGCGUGAAUAGCGUAUUCUGACAAAAGUAAUUUUUUAUAGAUGACACUGAUGGAUGAGAGUGGGAUUUAAGUUUGAAAGCUAGGGAAUGGAUUAUGCCAACUCACAAAUGAAAAUGUGGUGUGGCAAUUUGUGGUAUAACACAAAGUGUCC
rnacentral:rRNA from 1 species